rnacentral:rRNA from 1 species
GAUGAACGCUGACAGAAUGCUUAACACAUGCAAGUCAACUUGAACUUCGGUUUGGGUGGCGGACGGGUGAGUAACGCGUACAGAACUUGCCUCACAGAUAGGGACAACAUUUGGAAAUGAAUGCUAAUACCUGAUAUUAUGAUUAUAUGGCAUCGUAUAAUUAUGAAAGCUAUACGCGCUGUGAGAGAGCUUUGCGUCCCAUUAGCUAGUUGGAGAGGUAACGGCUCACCAAGGCGAUGAUGGGUAGCCGGCCUGAGAGGGUGAUCGGCCACAAGGGGACUGAGACACGGCCCUUACUCCUACGGGAGGCAGCAGUGGGGAAUAUUGGACAAUGGACCAAGAGUCUGAUCCAGCAAUUCUGUGUGCACGAUGAAGUUUUUCGGAAUGUAAAGUGCUUUCAGUUGGGAAGAAAAAAAUGACGGUACCAACAGAAGAAGUGACGGCUAAAUACGUG